rnacentral:rRNA from 1 species
AGAAGGACCGGGAAUGAGGAGUAUCUGUUUCAUGUGGUGGACGGUAUUCUAACCGAAAAGGAACGGCUUAAUUCCGUGCCAGCAGGCGACGGUAAUUACGUAUGUUCCAAGGCGUUAUCCCGAUUUAAUUGGGCGUAAAGCGAGCGCCAGACGGUUAUUUAAGUCUGAAGUGAAAGCCCUCAGCUCAACUGAGGAAUGGCUUUGGAAACUGGAUGACUUGAGUGCAGUAGAGGAAAGUGGAACUCCAUGUGUAGCGGUGAAAUGCGUAGAUAUAUGGAAGAACACCAGUGGCGAAGGCGGCUUUCUGGACUGUAACUGACGUUGAGGCUCGAAAGUGUGGGUAGCAAACAGGAUUAGAUACCCUGGUAGUCCACACCGUAAACGAUGAGUGCUAGAUGUUCGAGGGUUUCCGCCCUUGAGUGUCGCAGCUAACGCAUUAAGCACUCCGCCUGGGGAGUACGACCGCAAGGUUGAAACUCAAAGGAAUUGACGGGGACCCGCACAAGCGGUGGAGCAUGUGGUUUAAUUCGAAGCAACGCGAAGAACCUUACCAGGUCUUGACAUCCCUUGCUAAUCCUAGAAAUAGGACGUUCCCUUCGGGGACAAGGUGACAGGUGGUGCAUGGUUGUCGUCAGCUCGUGUCGUGAGAUGUUGGGUUAAGUCCCGCAACGAGCGCAACCCUUAUUAUUAGUUGCCAGCAUUCAGUUGGGCACUCUAGUGAGACUGCCGGUGACAAACCGGAGGAAGGUGGGGAUGACGUCAAAUCAUCAUGCCCCUUAUGACCUGGGCUACACACGUGCUACAAUGGCAUAUACAACGAGUCGCCAACCCGCGAGGGUGCGCUAAUCUCUUAAAGUAUGUCUCAGUUCGGAUUGUAGGCUGCAACUCGCCUACAUGAAGUCGGAAUCGCUAGUAAUCGCGGAUCAGCACGCCGCGGUGAAUACGUUCCCGGGUCUUGUACACACCGCCCGUCACACCAUGAGAGUUUGUAACACCCAAAGCCGGUGGGGUAACCUUUAGGAGCCAGCCGUCUAAGGUGACAGAGAUUGA